AUGCACGACAUUUGCCCUAAGGAGCGUGUUAUCGGUUUAAUGCCACCUGAGUCAGCUCUCCGUACUCGUCCUGAGGAGCGUGCUAUCAGUCUGGGGAAAGUUGUGCCGGCUCCACACACCAGGUCCCCAGUACGCCUUCCCAGCCCUGUACAUCCUGUGCUAGCUCUCCACACUCGCCUUGAGGAGCGUGUCACUUGUCCGGUGCCGGUUCUACUCACCAGGUCUCCAGUGCGCCUGCACAGCCCAGUACAUCCUGAACCAGCUCCUCGCACGUGUGUCAUCGAACCGGUACCAUUGAUGCCGGCUAUACGCGCUAGGUCUCCAGUACGUCGCCACAGCCCAGUACGUCCUGUGCCAGCUCCAUGCACUAGGCCUCUAGUGCGCCUCCCCAAUCCGGUACGUCCUGUGCAGGUCCCACGCAUCAGGCCUCCAGUGCGCCUUCACAGUCCAAAAGCUUCCGGCGACGGUUCCCAGUCCAGAGCUUCCGGCGACGGUUCCCAGUCCAGAGCUUCCGGCGACGGUUCCCAGUCCAGAGCUUCCGGCGACGGUUCCCAGUCCAGAGCUUCCGGCGACGGAUCCCAGUCCAGAGCUUCCGGCGACGUUCCACGGUCCGGAACCUCCAACGACGGUCCACGGUCCGGAACCUCCAACGACGGUCCACGGUUCGGAACCUCCAGGGACGGUCCACGGUCCGGAACCUCCGGCGACGGUCCACGGUCCGGAACCUCCGGCGACGGUCCACGGUCCGGAACCUCCGGCGACGGUCCACGGUCCGGAACCUCCGGCGACGGUCCACGGUCCGGAACCUCCGGCGACGGUCAACGGUCCGGAACCUCCAAACACGGCGUCCAGUCCAGCUCCAUGGCAGGAGCUCUCCUCUGCGCCGAUGCUCAGUCCAGACACGGCGUCCAGUCCCGCUCCAUGGCAGGAGUCUUCCUCUGCACCGAUGUCCAGGCCAGGCCAGGGCCGGUGUCCAGUCCCGCUCCAUGGCAGGAGCCUUCCUCGGCAUCGAGAUCCAGUCCAGGCACAGUGUUCAGCCUGGGCCCAUGGCUGGAUCCGCAGGAUGAGCGGUUUCUUCUGCUCGCAUCAGAGUCACCACCAAAGAUGGUGGAUCCGCGAGCUGAGCGGGUUCUUUGUCCCGCAACAGAGCCGCCACCGACGCUAAUCACCCCCCCCUACCGUCCCUAUUUGGUAUCAGGUUUUUGCGGCCGGAGUCCGCACCUUUUGGGGGGGGGUACUGUCACGCCCUGA
rnacentral:lncRNA from 8 species